UCACCGUCAUAGCUACAGUGGAUCGUUUGCAAGAAAAUAUUCAAUGGUGGUACAUGUCAUGUGAUAAGUGCCACAAAUUAGCUACCAAGGAAACCGACAAUUAUUAUUGCAAGAGUUGUGGUAUAUAUCCAGAAAAGGUCACACCACGGUACCGUGUUCGACUCCAAAUUAGUGACCAUACAUCUACUACAAGUUGCACUUUAUUUGAUGAGGAGGUUGCAAGAUUGCUUAAUACAUCUGCAUCUAAUCCGCUGGACACACAGGAUGGGAAAUCGGAAGAAGCGCCAAAGAUUAUUCAACAAUUAUGUGGAAAAAGACUCAUAUUUGGAUUCAAGCUCAAUGAUAAUAAUCUCACAUUUGGCACACAAAACUAUGUCGUAAAAAGAACAUUUGUGCCUGAUGAUAGGCUUGAGAUGCUCUAUUUGGACAAUAAAGCUGAGGAGGUAAAACUGCAUUAACUUUUUACCAUUUUCAGAAUUCCUUAACUAAUUCAUCUUAUAUAUGUUUCACAUGAAUUGAUGGAUGAUGAGGUGGACACUGUGUUAAUGAAUAAGCAAAACAUGCCAGAUAGAAAGUCACAGAAUAAUAAAGUUUCAUCUGGCAAACUUUCAUGUGAACUGGUGCCUGUGAAAGAGGAGCCACAUGACAGCAAUGGGACUGCAUUAAAUAAAGAUAAGCGUCAAGAGAAAAUACCAUCGUCAUCACGUGAGCUCCGCAGUGGCACUAAAAGGAUACUGAGAUCUGUUGUAAUAUCAGAUGAGUCAGAAGAUGAAUGCACUGAGACGAAUAUGCCUGAAAAAAAGGAAAAAGGUGUUUGCGGGAACAAGAAACAUGUUAAAGAAAAAGCCAAAACUACAGUGCUUGAAGAUGAAGAUGAAGUACCGAAAUCAAAGGCCAGCAGAAAAAGGAUGUGAUCCAGAUAAUUAGUGGAUCAGUAGCUUAUGAAAUAAAUAGUGCGACAGUCUAUUUGUAUCGACCAAGAUAAGUAAUAGUAUUUGACUGACAUCAACCAUGAUAAGAAGGAUACUUAUUAGAUUCAGGGUGUGGACGUUACCAAUGUUCUUAGUUUAAAAUAGAUUGAUAACUUUCUUCAUGUAGUUUCCUUUA